ensembl:lncRNA
ACCAGAGGAAUCUGGAAAUGUCCAUGCGAAUAGAGCGCUCCUCAUUCGUCCGGGUGAAGAAACGAUUUGAAGCUAACAAUAAGAAGAUUAAGAAGAUUGAGGAGAAGCAGAAGGAGUAUGAUUUUGAAGAGCGCAUGAAAGAGCUUUGAGAAGAGACGAAGAGGAGGAAAACCAUUACAGAAUCACCCACCAACCAAGGACCAAGCGGCGUGGUAACAGGCAGCAGCAGCAGCAGCAGCAGCAGUAGCAGCAGUAGCAGCAAAAGCAGCAGCAGGAGAAGCAACAGAAGCAGCAGAGGAAGCGGCAGCAGCAGUAAAAGUAGCAGCAGGAGAGGCAACAGCAGCAGAGGAAGCAGCAGCAGCAGGAGAGGCAGCAUUAUCU